rnacentral:rRNA from 1 species
ACGAACGCUGGCGGCGUGCUUAACACCUGCAAGUCGAACGGAAAGGCCCUGCUUUUGUGGGGUGCUCGAGUGGCGAACGGGUGAGUAACACGUGAGUAACCUGCCCUUGACUUUGGGAUAACUUCAGGAAACUGGGGCUAAUACCGGAUAGGAGCUCCUGCUGCAUGGUGGGGGUUGGAAAGUUUCGGCGGUUGGGGAUGGACUCGCGGCUUAUCAGCUUGUUGGUGGGGUAGUGGCUUACCAAGGCUUUGACGGGUAGCCGGCCUGAGAGGGUGACCGGCCACAUUGGGACUGAGAUACGGCCCAGACUCCUACGGGAGGCAGCAGUGGGGAAUAUUGCACAAUGGGCGGAAGCCUGAUGCAGCAACGCCGCGUGCGGGAUGACGGCCUUCGGGUUGUAAACCGCUUUCGCCUGUGACGAAGCGUGAGUGACGGUAAUGGGUAAAGAAGAACCGGCUAACUACGUG